CAGGAUGAACGCUGGCGGCGUGCUUAACACAUGCAAGUCGAACGAAGCAUUCCAACGUCUCGGAGGAAGAAAUGACUGAGUGGCGGACGGGUGAGUAACGCGUGGGUAACCUGCCUUAUACAGGGGGAUAACAGUUAGAAAUGACUGCUAAUACCGCAUAACCCGCUAGUACCGCAUGGUACAGACGGAAAAGAUUUAUCGGUAUAAGAUGGACCCGCGUCUGAUUAGCUAGUUGGUGAGGUAAUGGCUCACCAAGGCGACGAUCAGUAGCCGGCUUGAGAGAGUGAACGGCCACAUUGGGACUGAGACACGGCCCAAACUCCUACGGGAGGCAGCAGUGGGGAAUAUUGCACAAUGGGGGAAACCCUGAUGCAGCAACGCCGCGUGAAGGAAGAAGUAUUUCGGUAUGUAAACUUCUAUCAGCAGGAAAGAAAAUGACGGUACCUGACUAAGAAGCCCCGGCUAACUACGUGCCAGCAGCUGC
rnacentral:rRNA from 1 species